rnacentral:rRNA from 1 species
CCUACGGGGGGCUGCAGUGGGGAAUAUUGGACAAUGGGGGGAACCCUGAUCCAGCCAUGCCGCGUGUGUGAAGAAGGCCCUCGGGUUGUAAAGCACUUUCAGUGAGGAAGAACGCCUGGUGGUUAAUACCCAUCAGGAAAGACAUCACUCACAGAAGAAGCACCGGCUAACUCCGUGCCAGCAGCCGCGGUAAUACGGAGGGUGCGAGCGUUAAUCGGAAUUACUGGGCGUAAAGCGCGCGUAGGUGGCUUGAUAAGCCGGUUGUGAAAGCCCCGGGCUCAACCUGGGAACGGCAUCCGGAACUGUCUAGCUUGAGUGCAGGAGAGGAAGGUAGAAUUCCCGGUGGAGCGGUGAAAUGCGUAGAGAUCGGGAGGAAUACCAGUGGCGAAGGCGGCCUUCUGGACUGACACUGACACUGAGGUGCGAAAGCGUGGGUAGCAAACAGGAUUAGAUACCCGAGUAGUC